GGUUAAUAUAAUGACAGUAGAUGGUGUACCAGGGUAAUAUAAUGUCAGUAGAGGGUAGACCAGUGUAAUCUAGUGACAGUAGAUGGUAGACCAGGGUAAUAUAAUGACAGUAGAGGGUAAUAUAAUAACAGUAGAUGGUAGACCAGGGUAAUAUAAUGACAGUAGAGGGUAGGCCAGGGUAAUAUAAUGACAGUAGAUGGUAGACCAUGGUAAUAUAAUGACAGUAGAUGGUAGACCAGGUUAAUAUAAUGACAGUAGAUGGUAGACCAGUGUAAUCUAGUGACAGUAGAUGGUAGACCAGGGUAAUAUAAUGACAGUAGAGUUUAGACCAGGGUAAUAUAGUGACAGUAGAUGGUAGACCAGGGUAAUAUA
ensembl:lncRNA